rnacentral:lncRNA from 1 species
AUGAGAGUGUUGGAUGUGGCGCUGAGGUGGCCCAAGAACACAUUCUUCCUCUUGAAGUUAUUAGAUUCUUGGGGGUCCCUGGCAAGGAUUGGGAAACCUUUCAUUCACCAGGGAUUGAGCCUGGCUGUGCUGUUGAAAGAAACAUCAGUUGACCCUGUUAGCACAUCUGCGCUGCUGGAAGAGCCGAGGGUUAGAACGCAGCCGGGUCUACUGACGGCGCAGGCAGCAGCCGCUUCUGUUGGCCUCCUCUUCCUUCCCUUCGAGCUCACCGAUCUUCCAAGCUUCUCCUCAUCCUGCCAAACAGGGAAGCUGCACAGCCCUGCCCCAGUACAGACCCCAGAGACUGUCGAGGAGAAUGCAGAGGCUUCACCAAGCAUUGCCUCAGGACCCCUGAGCCCCGACACACAAGGUUUCCCAUUAUUUAUGGAAAUCGGGGGAUUCUGGCAUCUUUUCAGGCCACCUGAAGAACAUCUGGCAUUCGUUUAG